GGCUCAAUGGUCUAGGGGUAUGAUUCUCGCUUUGGGUGCGAGAGGUACCGGGUUUAAAUCCCGGUUGAGCCC
rnacentral:tRNA from 1 species